UACAGAGGUCCCAAGCGUUGUUCGGAUUCACUGGGCGUAAAGGGUGCGUAGGCGGUUGGUUAAGUCUGAUGUGAAAUCUUCGAGCUCAACUCGGAAACUGCAUCGGAAACUAUCUAGCUCGAGGAUUGGAGGGGAGACUGGAAUUCUCGGUGUAGCAGUGAAAUGCGUAGAUAUCGAGAGGAACAUCAGUUGCGAAGGCGGCUCUCUGGACCAGUACUGACGCUGAGGCACGAAAGCGUGGGGAGCAAACAGG
rnacentral:rRNA from 1 species